ensembl:lncRNA
CGGAAGUGCGUCUGACUCCAGAUCAGAAGGUUCAAAUCACGUCGGGGUCAUUCAAUGUGCUCUUUUUCACACAGACCCAUGAUUUUCUGCGCAGUCUAAUAAGGAUGCUGUUAUAUGGACUCCAAUCUCUAUGAUGACCACCCAUGUCUUUGUCAACUUCAUGCUAAAAGUGCCCAAAGCCCGUGGUGGUGGCAGUGCAUGGCGUUUGUGUGGAAGCAGUCGUGUGUUCCCUGAUAGUCCAUGAUUGCUGGAGCUCUGGAAAUAGCAGGUGAGAUUUCAGGCCGGAGUCGCGUCGCUGUCCAAGGAACCAAAAUCAACCUCCUCUACUCCUGAGACCACAGUGUGACUGAGAGCCUAGACUACAUGGCUACUUGGAACAUGAACAUGUUGCAGACACAGGAUCUUAUGAAGUCAGCGCAGGCAGCCCUGGAAAGAAGAGUCCGAAAGACGUGCCCUUCUCCAAGCUUUAAAGGAGAAGAUCCAGGGCUGUUGAAGCUGCGGUGGAACUGAGACAUCAUCAUCCACAUAUCUUCAGUUCUUCUUGCUAAGAGAACGAGAAACUCGGACACAACAGUACAUCCUGACCAUUGGUACUGUGUACACAUCAACAUACACACACGUCUCCAUGCUGGACAUCUCAGGAGCUUUCACACAGUGCUAGGAAUAUCCCGGGACAGAGAAACGCACCUUCUAAAUUCAAAUUUACGUCAACGUCCGUUACGUUGGUGACGUCACCACGAGCGCGAGAAGUCGAAGGUAGGAGCAGAAAGCGGUGUUAGUGUUAGUUCUGGCCCGUUUGGACCCAAACUAAAGUGAGUUUAUUUGGUUCUGUGUAACCGAACCCGUUCUGUUUUUUGCUGUAUUGUGUGUAUGUGUGUAGUUAACGGUGUUAACACCUGUGUUUCAGGUGUAUCAGUAUGAAGCAGGCGGUGACGGCGCACUGAUUCACUCUCGGAGCUCGGUUCACUAAUGACCGAAUCACCGAGGAACCGACCAAAGAUAACUCACACCCGCACGGAGAAGAAGAACAAGAGGAGGAGAAGUGAGAAAUAACAUUUUAAAACUGUUUUUAUUCAC